rnacentral:rRNA from 1 species
UCAAGCGACUAAGUGUAUGUGGUGGAUGCCUUGGCGAUCACAGGCGAUGAAGGACGUGACAGCCUGCGAAAAGCUGUGGGGAGCUGGCAAAUAAGCUUUGAUCCACAGAUGUCCGAAUGAGGGAACUCACCUGCUUUGCAGGUAUCCCAUCCUGAAUAUAUAGGGAUGGGAGGCGAACGAAGCGAACUGAAACAUCUAAGUAGCUUCAGGAAAAGAAAUCAACCGAGAUUCCGAAAGUAGCGGCGAGCGAAAUCGGAUCAGCCCAGCACUCGAUAGCAGCCAACUUACGGGAACGGUCUGGAAAGUCCGGCCAUAGAGGGUGAUAGCCCCUUACUGGAAAAGGCAGCUGUGGUACUAAGUGUGCGAUAAGUAGAGCGGGACACGUGACAUCCUGCUCGAAGAUGGGGGGACCAUCCUCCAAGGCUAAAUACUCGUGAUCGACCGAUAGCGUACCAGUACUGUGAAGGAAAGGUUAAAAGAACCCCGGGAGGGGAGUGAAAUAGAUCCUGAAACCGCAUACAUACAAACAGUAGGAGCCUCGUUAAGGGGUGACUGCGUACCUUUUGCAUAAUGGGUCAGCGACUUACGUUUAAUGGCGAGCUUAACCGUAUAGGGGAGGCGCAGCGAAAGCGAGUUCGAACAGAGCGUUCAGUCGUUAGGCGUAGACCCGAAACCAGAUGAUCUAUCCAUGGCCAGGUUGAAGGUGUGGUAACACACACUGGAGGACCGAACCGACUAGUGUUGCAAAAUUAGCGGAUGAGCUGUGGAUAGGGGUGAAAGGCUAAACAAAUCUGGAGAUAGCUGGUUCUCCCCGAAAACUAUUGAGGUAGUGCCUCGUGUAUGACUCCAGGGGGUAGAGCACUGUUAUGGCUAGGGGGACAUGGCGUCUUACCAAACCAUGGCAAACUCCGAAUACUUGGAAGUUUGAGCACGGGAGACAGAGCACCGGGUGCUAACGUCCGGACUCAAGAGGGAAACAACCCAGACCGCCGGCUAAGGUCCCUAAUAUUGACUAAGUGGAAAACGAAGUGGAAAGGCUAAGACAGUCAGGAAGUUGGCUUAGAAGCAGCCAUCCUUCAAAGAAAGCGUAAUAGCUCACUGAUCGAGUCUUUCUGCGCGGAAGAUGUAACGGGGCUAAGUCAAUAACCGAAGCCGCGGAUUCACACUUAUGUGUGAGUGGUAGGGGAGCGUUCUGUAAGCCUGCGAAGGUGACUCGUAAGGGUUGCUGGAGGUAUCAGAAGUGCGAAUGCUGACAUGAGUAACGUUAAAGCGGGUGAAAAGCCCGCUCGCCGUAAGCCCAAGGUUUCCUGCUCUACGUUCAUCGGAGCAGGGUGAGUCGGCCCCUAAGGUGAGGCUGAGAAGCGUAACUGAUGGGAACAAGGUUAAUAUUCCUUGACCACCGCUGAAUGCGAAGGGGGGACGGAGUAUUGAAGAUCAUCCGGGUGUUGGAUAUCCCGGUUUGCGAGCGUAGGAGGCUGACAGGCAAAUCCGUCAGCGAAUCUCCGAGGCAAAGCAUCGAGCUCUCUUUUGAGCGAAGUGAUUGGAUGUGCUUCCAGGAAAAGCCUCUAAGCUCCAGUUCAGCGGGACCGUACCGCAAACCGACACUGGUGGGCGAGCUGAAUAUGCUCAGGCGCUUGAGAGAACUCAGGAGAAGGAACUCGGCAAAUUGACACCGUAACUUCGGGAUAAGGUGUGCCUUUGUAGCGUGGAGGGAGAAACACCCCGAGCGCGAAGAGGUCUCAGAUAAUCGGUGGCUGCGACUGUUUAUUAAAAACACAGCACUCUGCAAAGACGAAAGUCGACGUAUAGGGUGUGAUGCCUGCCCGGUGCUGGAAGAUUAAUUGAUGGGGUGCAAGCUCCUGAUCGAAGUCCCAGUAAACGGCGGCCGUAACUAUAACGGUCCUAAGGUAGCGAAAUUCCUUGUCGGGU